GCUUACGGACAUACCACCCUGAGCGCGCCCGAUCUCGUCUGAUCUCGGAAGCUAAGCAGGGUCGGGCCUGGUUAGUACUUGGAUGGGAGACCGCCUGGGAAUACCCGGUGCUGUAAGCU
rnacentral:rRNA from 1 species